rnacentral:rRNA from 1 species
UUCACCUGACAUCACCAACCCAUCACCAGUAUUGAAUAAAUUCAUAACCUAUGAAAAUUAUUAUGCUAGAACUAGUAACAAGAAAAUGAAUUUCUCCAAAGUGUAAGCAUAAACCAAAAUGGACACCACACUGGUAAUUAACGACUAUGAACCCAUUAUAGUAACAUAACUAGAAAAUCCUAUAUCUAACCCCGUUAACCUUACACAAGAACUCUCCUGGAAAGAUUAAAAGGAAGAGAAGGAACUCGGCAAAUCUUAACCCCGCCUGUUUACCAAAAACAUCGCCUCUUGGUCAGAUAUAAGAGGUCUAGCCUGCCCAGUGUUUUAGUUUUAAUCAACGGCCGCGUGAUUUAAACGCGCGAAGGUAGCAUAAUAAUUUGUUCUUUAAAUGAGGACUUGUAUCAAUGGCAUCACGAGGGUUAUACUGUCUCCUCUCCCCAAUCAGUGAAACUAAUCUCCUUGUGAAAAAGCAAGGAUAAGAUCAUAAGACGAGAAGACCCCAUGGAGCUUAAAACACGGCAACAACCCUAAUACCAUAACCAAUUUAAUUUUAAGCCCUGUAUGCUAGUUUUAGGUUGGGGUGACCACGGAGUAAAGCAAAACCUCCACAACGAAAAGGGGUUAUACCCUUAUCUAAGAGAUACUUCUCUAAGAAUUAUUAAAAAUAACGUCCAAUGAUCCGACUAUCGACCAAUGAACCAAGUUACCCUGGGGAUAACAGCGCAAUCCACCCUGAGAGCCCCUAUCGACGAGUGGGCUUACGACCUCGAUGUUGGAUCAGGAUAUCCCAGUGGUGCAGCCGCUACUAAAGG